CCGAGACGCGGCCGUGACAUCAAGAUCAAGCGCCAGCUGACCCCAGAAGUCCGUCAUGUUUUCCUUGUUUUCUGCGGAUUUAAGGUGUGGCGGAGGACCAGGCGCGAGGACACGGUCAGAUGUUGAUGGCAGCGGACAACACAUGCAUCAUUUGCUUUGGAUGAAGAACAAAAGCAAGCCGACAUUCUGAGACACUUCCGGCUCCCACGAGGAUGAAAAACUAAGAGGCUUCAUGGAAGACCCCAGGAAGAAUCAGCUCCAGACAGUAAUGGAAGAGGGAAGAGAAGAAGGAAGAUAAGGAGGGAGAACUAUCCAAGAAGAGUAUAUGUGGAUUCGCACCCGAGAUCCGUCCAACACCAUGAGAGAAAUUUGAGUGUUAGGUGGACACGGGCGAACUAUAGUCAAACCAUUUCAAAUAGUCCGUUGAGGUGAUGACUUCCAUGGGUCCUUUCCUCCCCCCUGCUCUACCACACGGUCCCAACACCUAUUUUUUUUCCUCUCAUACGUUACCUAUAGCUAACAUAUGAGGGGAAGAGAUGGAUGUUGGGGCUGUGUGGCAGAGCAGAGGGGAGGAAAGGAUCUGCAAAAGCCAACGCCUCAAUGGACUGUUUGAAGUGGUUUGAUUAUAGCAGUUAUCCGGAGCAGUGGUUCACCGCCCCUUGCCUCAUCAUUAUCCGAGAAAUCUCCGGGUGUGAAGCGAGUCUAUGUCUUCACUCUUCACCGUGAGGCGGGUCUUGGCCAUUUGACCCACGAUCUCCAUGCCAAGAACUCCUCUACCUUCUAACCAUCUCCACUACCACGUUGCUGAGUAUAUGGCGCUGACCCCUGUCCAUUGACCUCCACCCCAACCCCCCACAUGGCUGAGGGACCCGAGGACAUGACGCCCUCCCUAUGCUGACUACAUCGCAGACACCUGUGCACUGACCUCCACGCCAACCCCUCAUCCCCCCACCCACAAUGAAAUCUUUAACCCCUUGACUGCAGAUUUCCUACAAGAAGACAUCACCAAGCUACAGGAAUUGAACAAAAAGUGGCUGCUACAAUUCAAUGAAGAAAAAUGUAAAGUCAUGCACCUUGGGAGGGGAUAUCCAGCUUACCAAUACCACAUGAGGAACACUCCACUAUCCACCACAGAGGCAGAGAGAGACCUGGGAGUAUAUGUUACCAGGCUACCAGUGAAGGCGAAAUCCGUGCCAAUUGCAGCGGAUGGGUUAAGCCGACAUCGCUCUCCAGUUCCAUGGCAGAUGAACCCUGGGUGACCUGAUGUCCCACGGUGACAACUCAACCCCAUGCUCACUUGUUCUGACUACUAACUGUCAAUAUACCCACUCUCAUUCAUAUGCUGACACCUCCAUGCUGACCUCUAUACCUGUGUCUCUUUGACCCAACUGUGCUUGCUGGAUAUUGAUACGGAAGUGCUGUAAUAAAGAUCUGUCCAUAUAGUUUCCGGUUUGACUCUCCCCAUUGACUAGUUAGACUGAUGUUUGUCUAAGUCGUUUUUUUCGGACUUGUGAAUAUUCCCUGUAACUAUUAAGUCAGUGUAUCUCUGGUCAGCAACUGUGUGUGUAAUAAUAAUAAUAAACGGUU